rnacentral:rRNA from 1 species
UACGUAGGUGUCAAGCGUUGUCCGGAUUUAUUGGGCGUAAAGCGCCCGCAGGCGGCUUGCCAAGUUCGAUGUGAAAUCUCCCGGCUCAACUGGGAGGGUGCAUCGAAAACUGGCAGGCUUGAGGCAGGGAGAGGGAUGUGGAAUUCCAGGUGUAGUGGUGAAAUGCGUAGAUAUCGGGAGGAACACCUGUGGCGAAAGCGGCGCACUGGACCACAUCUGACGCUGAGGCGCGAAAGCUAGGGGAGCAAACAGG